AGUAACGCGUGAGGAACCUGCCUUUCGGAGGGGGACAACAGUUGGAAACGACUGCUAAUACCGCAUAACGCAUGGGUAUCGCAUGGUAUCUGUGCCAAAGAUUUAUCGCUGAGAGAUGGCCUCGCGUCUGAUUAGCUAGUUGGUGAGGUAACGGCCCACCAAGGCGACGAUCAGUAGCCGGACUGAGAGGUUGGCCGGCCACAUUGGGACUGAGAUACGGCCCAGACUCCUACGGGAGGCAGCAG
rnacentral:rRNA from 1 species